rfam:Medicago truncatula strain A17 chromosome 3, whole genome shotgun sequence.
UUGGCUUAAAUCACAGUGGGUCUCACACUUUGGAAAUAGAUUCCACUUAAAGUGGUGGGUCACACAUUGGUUUAAGCCAA